rnacentral:rRNA from 1 species
AUUGAACGCUGGCGGCAGGCUUAACACAUGCAAGUCGAGCGAGCGGCGGACGGGUGAGUAAUGUCUGGGAAACUGCCUUAUGGAGGGGGAUAACUACGGGAAACGGUAGCUAAUACCGCAUACCAUCAGAUUUGCCCAGCUGGGAUUAGGGAGUAGGUGUGGUAAAGGCUCACCUAGGCGACGAUCACUAGCUGGUCUGAGAGGAAGACCAGCCACACUGGAACUGAGACACGGUCCAGACUCCUACGGGAGGCAGCAGUGGGGAAUAUUGCGCAAUGGGAGCAAGCCUGACGCAGCCAUGCCGCGUGAGUGAUGAAGGCCUUCGGGUUGUAAAGCUCUGUCAGUAAGGAGGCGUUAACUACAGAAGAAGCACCGGCUAACUCCGUGCCAGCAGCCGCGGUAAUUC